rnacentral:rRNA from 1 species
CCUCUCCUGCGCAGUAGUUUGCACAACUCGCACCGGGAGCGCGGCGCGUCCACGUCCGUAAAACACCCAACUUUCUGAAAUGUUGACCUCGGAUCAGGUAGGAAUACCCGCUGAACUUAAGCAUAUCAAAAGCGGGAGGGAGAAAUUAAAUGGGUCCCGUGUAUUACAGUACGUUCCGUGUCCCUGACCAUCUUUUAAAAGACUCCUCCCGGAUCACCUCGGGAGGGCACCCGUUAAUGACCGUCCACCUCUAAGCAUGUUGAGCUUCGCAUUCUGCCGGAUUUUAUAACGUACAUCAGUGCGCAACACGGUGAUAGACAACAUAUUGUCGAUGAAGAAGUCUGCAGAUCGCAACAAGGCCAAUUGGUGAAAAAUGCCUCCMAGCUGUGUG